rnacentral:guide_RNA from 1 species
AAAAUCAAACUGAAUUGACAGAGUGUUAAUGUAGAUAGAUAUAAUU